CCCCAUAGAUAGGAAAUAAACUUCAUUUUUGCACAGAGGGAGCUGAAGAUGGAAGGCUGUCCCUCUGGCUCCAUAACAGCGUCUUUGUGAGUUGUGCUGAGCAACAUUUUGAUGUAUUGA